rnacentral:rRNA from 1 species
CGAACGAGUUCUCGUUGAUGANCGGUGCUUGCACCGAGAUUCAACAUGGAACGAGUGGCGGACGGGUGAGUAACACGUGGGUAACCUGCCCUUAAGUGGGGGAUAACAUUUGGAAACAGAUGCUAAUACCGCAUAGAUCCAAGAACCGCAUGGUUCUUGGCUGAAAGAUGGCGUAAGCUAUCGCUUUUGGAUGGACCCGCGGCGUAUUAGCUAGUUGGUGAGGUAAUGGCUCACCAAGGCGAUGAUACGUAGCCGAACUGAGAGGUUGAUCGGCCACAUUGGGACUGANACACGGCCCAAACUCCUACGGGAGGCANCAGUAGGGAAUCUUCCACAAUGGACGCAAGUCUGAUGGANCAACGCCGCGUGAGUGAAGAAGGCUUUCGGGUCGUAAAACUCUGUUGUUGGAGAAGAAUGGUCGGCAGAGUAACUGUUGUCGGCGUGACGGUAUCCAACCAGAAAGCCACGGCUAACUACGUGCCAGCAGCCGCGGUAAUACGUANGUGGCAAGCGUUAUCCGGAUUUAUUGGGCGUAAAGCGAGCGCAGGCGGUUUUUUAAGUCUGAUGUGAAAGCCCUCGGCUUAACCGAGGAAGCGCAUCGGAAACUGGGAAACUUGAGUGCAGAANANGACAGUGGAACUCCAUGUGUAGCGGUGAAAUGCGUAGAUAUAUGGAANAACACCANUGGCGAANNNGGCUGUCUGGUCUGUAACUGACGCUGANGCUCGAAAGCAUGGGUAGCGAACAGGAUUAGAUACCCUGGUAGUCCAUGCCGUAAACGAUGAAUGCUNNUGUUGGAGGGUUUCCGCCCUUCANUGCCGCAGCUAACGCAUANNCANUCCGNCUGGGGAGUACGACCGCAAG